UGACAUAAAAAGUUAGAAGGGGACUUCUCUAGGAGUCUGGACAAGAGGGCACAUCCCGUGCAGGCUGUCGGGGGAGGGAGCCCUCCUCUCCCACAUCAGCACGGGCAUGACCUGGUCAUAGAAAAGCGCCUUUACCUUGCCGGUCUGGCCCGUGCGGAACCGUUCAAACCUACGAAGACAGAAAGGAGCCGAGUCAGAGAGACAGAGAGGCCCCUGAGCACAACCCAGCCGGGGCAGGGUUCCUCACACUGCAGGCCUCCCAGUCCACCUGGCGGGUCACGAUUAGGGUGACAGACCCACUUUACGCCCGGGAUGCGUAACCCUGCCGGUGUAUCCCUGGGGGACGGGUAACAGUGCCCCUCGUUCACUGGCAAGAGUGUCCCAACUGGAAUUUUCGACUGCCUGCCCACUCCGGUCGUGACCGGCACACACACAGGGACGGGCCAGGACAGACAGGAAAAUGCGGACGCACGGCACACGGCACACGGCACACGGCAAAGAUCUGCAGAAAUGUUGCCAAGGUAGUCGAAUUCCCGUAACCCCUUCACCCGGCUUCUCAGUUUGGCAUUUGUCAAAGAUGUGAACAUCAGCCCAGCCCUAUGAGCUCAACUCCAGACUUUCUUCCAGUGUCCCUGUUUUCCCACUAAUGUCCUCCUGUUCCAGGACCCCCCAUGGCACUGAGUCGCCAUGUCUGUGACCGAUCUGUAAUCAGCAAGUUACAUGUUGAAACUCCUUUGGGAAAGAAAGAGAAAAAAAAAAAAGCCACAGCA